rnacentral:rRNA from 1 species
AGCGAACGCUGGCGGCAGGCCUAACACAUGCAAGUCGAGCGCCGUAGCAAUACGGAGCGGCAGACGGGAGAGUAACACGUGGGAACGUACCCUUCAGUACGGAACAACCAAGGGAAACUUUGGCUACUACAGUAUACGUCCGUAAGGAGAAAGAUUUAUCGCUGAAGGAUCGGCCCGCGUCUGAUUAGCUAGUUGGUGAGGUAAUGGCUCACCAAGGCGACGAUCAGUAGCUGGUCUGAGAGGAUGAUCAGCCUCACUGGGACUGAGACACGGCCCAGACUCCUACGGGUGGCAGCAGUGGGGAAUAUUGGACAAUGGGCGCAAGCCUGAUCCAGCCAUGCCGCGUGGGUGAUGAAGGCCCUAGGGUUGUAAAGCCCUUUCGGCGGGGAAGAUAAUGACGGUACCCGCAGAAGAAGCCCCGGCUAACUUCGUGCCAGCAGCCGCCGUAAGAC